rfam:Ovis aries breed Texel chromosome 12, whole genome shotgun sequence.
UUCCUGGUGGUCCAAUGGUUAAGACACUGCGCUUCCACUGCAGGGGGCAUGGGUUCGAUCCCUGGUCAGGGAA